GGGGAGGACAUGGCUGUCAGCUGGGAAGAGUGAAAUGGGCAAAGACUGCGUCACGGCUGGAAGGGAUCGUGGCAAGGGCACAGGCAGCAGGAAAGCUGACCCUCAUCAGAGCUGACAACAUGUCCAGCCUGCACUACUGCAAGAACUUCUUUGUCUAUGGUAGUGUGGUCAACUGAAGAAGCCGGCUUAGUUGCUCCAGUCAGGUGCUCACACUAAGAAAGGAUGGGUGAAGGUUAUAAAGUGGCUGUGAAUGAGAACUCGGUCUGGGCUCUACCAAGCAGAGAAGCCAUGCAGAGAUGAGAAAGGUGAAAGCCAUGAAACCAUGUUAAGCAGAAAAAUAAAAAUUCAUAACAGAA
rnacentral:sRNA from 1 species